rnacentral:ncRNA from 1 species
UAAAGUUUUGGUCCUAAACUUACUGCUACUUUUAAUCAAAAUUACACAUGCAAGUAUCCGCAUACCAGUGAACUAUGCCCUAAAGUAUAAACGGAGCAGGUAUCAGGCACGAACAUCAGCCCAAAACACCAAGCUACGCCACACCCACACGGGCCUACAGCAGUGAUAAACAUUAAGCAAUAGGCGAAUCAACAACCUCUUUAAGCCUGACUUAGCUAUGAUUAAUAAGGGCCGGUCAACCUCGUGCCAGCCACCGCGGUUAUACGAAGGGCCCAAAGCAGCAGAUGCCGGCGUAAAUAGUGGCUAGAAUUAUACCACACAUUAAAAGCUAAACCAUAGCCUAACCGUAAAACAUAGGCUAAAUGAAACCAAACACUUUUAUCAUAUAGGUGAUUUGACCCACGAAAACUAAGAAACAAACUAGGAUUAGAUACCCUACUAUGCUUAGUCGUUAAUACGACACUCUCCUACAUUAGUGUCCGCCAGAAAAUUACGAGUGAAAAACUUAAAACUCAAAGGACUUGGCGGUGCCCCAAACCAACUUAGAGGAGCCUGUCCUGUAAUCGAUAUUCCACGAUAAACCUCACCAAUUUUAGCCUCUUCAGCCUAUAUACCGCCGUCGCCAACUUACUCCAUGAGGAAAUAACAGUAAGUAAAAAAGUACAACACAAGAACGUCAGGUCAAGGUGUAGCUAAUAAAUUGGAAGAGAUGGGCUACAUUUUUUAAAAUAAAAAACACGGCAUGGAACCGUGAAACCAGUUCCUAAAGGAGGAUUUAACAGUAAAAUUAGCAAGAAAACUAAUUUUAAACCCGCUCUGGGGCGCGCACACACCGCCCGUCACCCUCAUCACACAAGAAUACACACUACAUAAAACACAACAAACACCAAGAUGAGGCAAGUCGUAACAUGGUAAGCGCACUGGAAAGUGUGCUUGGAAUA